rnacentral:lncRNA from 1 species
GUAGCUUGCCUCCUUUUAUUGGGCUUCAUCAUUUAUUUACCUUUUAGGGCUGGAUUUGUAGAAAGAUAUUGUGUAAAUUUGGUUUUGUCAUGGAAUCUCUUGGUUUCUCAAUCUAUGUUAAUUGAGAGUUUUGGUGGAUACAGUAACCUGGGCUGGCAUUUUUAUUCUCUUAGGUUCUGUAGGACGUCUGUCCAGGAUCUUCCAGCUUUCAUAGUCUCUGGUGAGAAGUCUGGUGUGGAACUUCCAGGGACUAAGCCACUACCC